CUGGUAGGCAGGAUAGGGUGGUCUCUAGUUUCACUGACAUUUGCUUGAGCCAAUGGUGCUUUCCUCCUUCCCGUAACAGGCAAGAAGGAAAACCCCCAGAAAUUCAGAUAAUCCGAAAUGCUAUAUUUGAGAUUGACCAAAGGAUCUUCUCACCGAAUAUCAUCAUCCAUUUGGAGAUUUGGGAUCAGAUAAGGUGGCGUAUUUGACUACUAAGGGAUGACCUAAUGCCGUUUUAUUAUUAUGACCUAAUGCAAAAUGCCAAUUGUCUUUAUCUAAAAUCAGCUAUAAAAACUGAAAGAUGAAAAUAUCCAAGACCACGAAGAAUCCAUUAAAAAGAUCCGCUGGAUUUUAUAGUAGAAAGCCAAAAGGAAACGCCUCAAUUCUUCAGAUGUAGUUCUAGCUUUCCUUGAGGUAAUUUCCCAGCAAGGUUCAACCAAGCAAGCGCAGCAAAUCCAGUAGAAGACAGAAAAGCCUCAAGAU